ACUUAAACAAAAGAAGAUAGAAACCGACAGCAAUAAUUACUAAAUCUUGAAAAAUGAAAAACCUACUUAAUCCAGUCAUUUCAACAAUGGCUGUAAUCCAUUAUACUGAAUGAAUCGUCACUUCAAUCCUUUCCAACCGUUCAGUCGAUAGCUUUGUUCAAAAACAUAGUCGUUCAUAGCUAUCAUCCAAACCCAUUCCUCUCUAGCAUCUUCUAGUCUUGUCUUCUUGCCCAGCGUCCUUCAGAAAGUAGAUCAAGCGAACUUUGGUUUUCUUGCAUCCGGUAAGAGAUUAUUCCACUUUCUAAGACUUCUUUUGCUAACUGAUGGGCAUGCAUGUUUUAUUUUCUGGGAAUAUACUUGAACUUUAUUGUUUGAUAAUGGGCACACUUAUCUUGAAUAUCUCGAAUGAUUGCUCCAAUGACUGACUUAUCAACUUCUGUUGUUUGGCAUUUCCUGAUUACUGUCUUUGAAUCCCCUUUGAUUUGUGAAUCUCUAAAGCCCAUUAAGAUUCCUAACUUAAUUGUUUCCAAUCCUGCAUAUGCUUCUGCCGCGAACGGAGAUGGAACAUAAUUGUGGAGGACUGUCUUCGUUGCCAGUUUUUCAUUCCUACAACCCCAAACCACCACCCCAGAGGCAGAUCUGAAAUUUCUCUUGUCGUACGCUUCGUCGAAGUGUAUCUUUACUAUUGGUAAGCUGUCUGUACAUCUGUGUCUUCGAGUAAAAUCUGGUGAAUCCAGCUUUAUUCUUAUCCCAUCUUGUUCAGCCUUGUAACUUGGAAUCUUUUGUGCAAGUUUUCUUCCUGAGAUGAAUAUCCGUUCGGGAACUAGCUGGUUUCUUGAGUACCAUAUUAGCCAUAAGACAUAACAAAAAAGUCGACUCUGCUCCUCUGUUCCCUGCUGGAAUACCCAGGGCAAUGUCUGAAAGUGUGAGAGCAGUCUUCAUCUCCCAAACCACAUCGUAUGCAGCAAACAUUCGUGAUCACCCUUUUACUUCUGAGGUUUAUAAGCGUGGGCAAAUAAUUCCAGGAAGCACGCCAAGUAAUUGCGAUUUUUGUAGGAAGUUGUAGGCUCCAUAAUUUUUUGUAAAAUUUUUUAGAUUCGGUCUGUAAUAAAAAUACUACUAGGAUCUAGUGAAGAAUCCUGUAAUAGUUUAUAGGCACUCCGUACGGAGAAUUCUCCCGAUUGUUCUCCCUUCCAGACUUGAGAAUCAGCAUGGCUUGUUUCUGCAAGAGGAAUCUGCAAAAUUCUUUGAGCAAUCUCUUCUGGAACUUUCAGUGCCCAACAAUCAUUCCAAAUUGAUAUCUCUCUCCUGGUUCUUACUCUCAUCAUUGCCCAUUUGGAAGAAGUCCCUUCGAAGCCCAGAUGCUCCUCUAGGUGAGUGAAGGUGUAUUUCCUAACCUCGCCUCCAUAAAACUUGACUGCGGAUAAUAUUUUGCCUUGAAAACCUUCGCUAGUAAUGAAUUAGGAAGCAAACAAGGUUAUAUUAAAUUGGCUAAACUUUUGAAACCCUAAACCCCCAAUUUCCUUCAAACUGCAAAGAUAUUGCCAUUUACACCAAUGAAUAACCUUUCGUCCUCUGCUCAUUUGCCACCAAAAUUUGGUAAUAAUAUUUUCAUUAUCAUUACAUAGAGAUCUCGGUAAUAGGAAGCAAGCCAUCGAGUAGGUUGGGAUUGUUUGUAAAAUAGCUUUUAUAAAAACUUCUUUCCCCCCCUGUGAAAGAUAUUUAGUACUCCAGCUAUCUAUACGCAUUUUGAUACGAUCCUUCAAGUUUUGAAAGGACGCCUUCUUACUCUUACCCAGCAUAUGCGGCAAUCCUAGAUAUCGUUCUGCUUCCUCCGAGCAUCGAACUGCCAGUAGGCUAUCGACCAAUUGUUUAUCCACUAGUGGAGUAUUUUUACUGAAGAAAAUAGUGGAUUUAUCAAAA